UACGGAGGGAGCUAGCGUUGUUCGGAAUUACUGGGCGUAAAGCGCACGUAGGCGGCUUUGCAAGUCGGGUGUGAAAUCCCCAGGCUUAACCUGGGAACUGCAUUCGAGACUGCAUUGCUAGAGUAUGGGAGAGGGAAGUGGAAUUUCCGGUGUAGCGGUGAAAUGCGUAGAUAUCGGAAGGAACAUCAGUGGCGAAAGCGACUUCCUGGACCAAUACUGACGCUCAUGUGCGAAAGCGUGGGGAGCAAACAGG
rnacentral:rRNA from 1 species